rnacentral:rRNA from 1 species
AGCAGCCGCGGUAAUUCCAGCUCCAAUAGCGUAUAUUAAAGUUGUUGCAGUUAAAAAGCUCGUAGUUGAAUUUCGGGACCAAUUUGUUGGUCGUGCCUCGGUACGUACUGGUAUUAUUGGUUUCUCCCUUCUGAAGAACCUCGAUGCCAUUAAUUUGGUGUCGUGGGGAAUCAGGACUGUUACUUUGAAAAAAUUAGAGUGUUUAAAGCAAGCAUACGCUUGAAUACAUUAGCAUGGAAUAAUGAAAUAGGACGUUUGAUUCUAUUUUGUUGGUUUCUAGGAUCGACGUAAUGAUUAAUAGGGAUAGUUGGGGGCAUUAGUAUUCAAUUGUCAGAGGUGAAAUUCUUGGAUUUAUUGAAGACUAACUACUGCGAAAGCAUUUGCCAAGGAUGUUUUCAUUAAUCAAGAACGAAAGUUAGGGGAUCGAAGACGAUCAGAUACCGUCGUAGUCUUAACCAUAAACU